UACGAAGGGUGCAAGCGUUACUCGGAAUUACUGGGCGUAAAGCGUGCGUAGGUGGUGAGUUAAGUCUGUCGUGAAAGCCCCGGGCUCAACCUGGGAAUGGCGAUGGAUACUGGCUCGCUAGAGUGCGGUAGAGGAGAGUGGAAUUCCCGGUGUAGCAGUGAAAUGCGUAGAGAUCGGGAGGAACAUCAGUUGCGAAGGCGGCUCUCUGGACCAGCACUGACACUGAGGCACGAAAGCGUGGGGAGCAAUCAGG
rnacentral:rRNA from 1 species